ACUCUUACGCCUAGGAUCAUAAAACUUCAUAGGUACAUUGAGGUGACCCAAAAUAGUAAAAUUGUUUUACUCAAGAACGCUUAUGCCUAGGAUGAUGAAACUUCAUAGGUACAUUGAUCAUGACUUGCAGAUGACCUGUAUUGACUUUCAGGUCACUAGGUCAAGGUCACGGUUACUUGACACAGUAAAAUGGUUUUUGGAUGAUAACUCAAGAAAGCUUACGCCUAGGAUCAUGAAACAAUAUAAUGGUCAAGUUGAUAGAAUUUUCUUAUUAAAUCAAUCAAAAAUGG